ensembl:lncRNA
AUGUUCCAACAAUAUAACUGUACUGUAUUGAAAUGCUGUCAGUCCCAUCUGAAUUCUUCAGAAAAAGAGGGAGAAACAGAGAGAAAAAAAUGAAGACAGACAAGACCAAGGUAUACUCCUAUUUGGACAGUUAAGAUGUCGAAGUUAAAAGAAAGCUAUGACUCUACACAAACAAAUCAAAGAGCACAACAGCAUUGCAACAUUUUUGAUACAAAAAAUGAUUUAUACAUAAAGAGAGAUUAUUUUUAUUAAAAUAAUUACUUUAUAUGUUGGGAAAUAAUAUCUUAAUUAAAUAAUUAUUUUAAGAUGGCACAUUUGCAAUGUAUGCUUCAGAGAACUUGAGCAGCAUCAACAAAUACAACAGAAAAUCUGUGUAAAAUAAAUAAGAUAGUGAGCAAAAUGUAUGCCGCGUACCUGCAUGGCUGAAUUUCUUUAUUUCAACUUAUAAUAGGGAACUCUUUGUAGGGAAUUCCAAAGCUUAAAUCAACAUCAGAAUUUUACCAAUUUUAUUAAGCUCUAGCACAAGACUAUUUAUAUUUCUAGCAAUUCAUUCUUAUGGCUCAGGUUUUCUUUCUGCAUUAUACACAAAAUAUACCAAAAUAAAAACUAUCGUCUUUGCUUUUCUCUUCUUGCUGUGCUUGUAAGGCUUGUAAGAUAAAAGCCUGGCAACUGCUAGACAAUUUCAGUCUUUACCUUAGAGUAAAAUAUAGCCUCCCUCUGCUGCUACACUGGCUGGCUCCUCCAACAUGGAUGAUGAUUCUCAAUUUGCUGUUAUAAUAUACAGUGUGAGAAAACAUUCAGAGAAAUCUAAGGAAAUACAAUUUCUUUUUCAACAAAAUAUAGUAUUUGUUAGUGUGGCUAAAAACAGACAGAAAUGUGAUUUUACUAAGUGCUGAAUAGUGCUGAAAUGAUUGAAGUAGGAUGUCUAUAAGGUGCCAACAAUAACAAAAAUUCCAAUUUACAGCAAACAUGCAUGAAGAGACAGGCUGAGACUCUGGACUCCUUCAUGAAUGCACUUAUACAUGCUACUGGAAGAACAUUGGCUAAUAACAGGAACUUCAUUCUUUCCUGACAACAGCCAGAAAGCAAUAUCACACACUCGUUCUCACAAGCAUCCCUAGAAAUACAAUACAGCAGCAAGAUCAGGGUAUUUCCCAUGACAUAAUCACUGGUCUUUAGAAGAAUAUGGAAGUGAAAGCUUUAGUUUAGUUUUUUUUUUUUUUCAUUAGAUUGGGAUGCAUUACAGCAUUUGAAACAAUGGAUUAACUAAAGCUGAACUUCUAAACUACAUCACAAUUGAUGUGAAAUGAUUAAAGAGGAUGAUGUAACUUGUUUAAGAUUUUUUCCAUCUUUACUCAGACAGUUUCAUCUCACAUCUAGGGAACUGCCUUCUGAAUUCAACCAAUCUGCUAACUUUCUAGAGCACAGCCAAAAAACAAACAAACAAACAAAAAAAAAAACACCAACCCAGGAAAACAAACAAACAGAAAUAUCCACCAGUUUGAUUCUAACGUUUUUACCAGUGAGUGGAAUGUUUACUGUUGGAUGACAGGUGUUUCAGUACUCCAAAAUAAAACCAGUUUGUGGACUUGAUGGGGUUUUCAAAGAAAGCCUCUCUCACUUUACCUUUGUCUAUGCAAUGAAAUUAUCUCCUCACAGUGUGGAUCAAACCUUUCUGAAGUUGCAGUAUCGCAUAAAUUAAAAUACAGGGAUAUUACUUCUACUUGUAUUUAAAAUAAAAUGUUUGUACUGAACUACCACAGUCAGCUUCCAUUAUUUAGUUUUAAAUUGCUAUUUUUCAUUUUCUAUUUAAUUACUAUUCCAUUUUUCCAGUAUUGCAAAAUAGAUUAAAUAUUUUUAUUUAUUUCAAAUUAUACAUUCAUGUGUAGCUGGUAAGAAAAAUGUGAUAAAAGACAAAAAAAACUAGAACAGAUUCUCCUGAAACAGAUUGCUGAUAUAAUUGACAUACACAACAGUAUUUUGAAAUGAAUCAGAAGGAUUAAAGUCUCUCCUGCAAGAACUAGCAGAAGAACAAACUCACAAGCAAACCAGUAGUGAUACUCUCUGCAAGCAAGAAACUAAAUGAUACAGAAAACCACUGUAAAAUCUGACCAUAGAACAGUUGAUAAACAGAAUAAAUUCAGUAAAAAUCUGGGGAACCAGUAAACCUUACUUUCAUUUAGUAAGUAUGACAAUUUAGGCAACGAAUCACAGCAAUAUAACUACAGUUAAAUGAGAAGAGGAAAAAAAAAGAAGUCUUCUCUUUCUUAAACAAUGCUAUGAUAUGCUAAGUUCCCUACAGAUGAUAAAAAUACACUUUGAGGGGAGGCUGAAUCAUGUGAUUCUAGGUAGAGCACUAGAAUGAUUUGGAGGGAAUCUGUUCUUCAACUAUCUGCUGACACAUCUUUUUCAUAACCUAAAACUUCAUUUUGCCUUUCAAUACAGUUCCUACUUUGUUGCAUUUUAUAUUCAAAGGACAAACAACUAAAUUCUCAGAGUGCUGAGGGAGAAAUCGUUACUAGUAUUAAUACUAUUACAACUGAUAUAAAUCACUAUUCUUCUCCUGGGAGUCAAAACACGAUCUUGGCCAUGUUGGAGCACAUUGCUACUUACUAAAUGCUUCCACUCCACUUCGUGCUUUACAAAGAAAACUACAUCCAUGCAGAUGGAAAUAAAAAAGCCAUCAUCCUCAUUUAGUACAAUUUUGCUCUACUUUGCUUUGGUAUAGAUGACAAAAAAACCCCCGAAGUAAUACAAAUCUAAGCCUUCCCUGACUUCCUUUAAAAUUGUUGUUUCAUUUGGCUGUUAGAAACACGCAGAAGCAUUCCAUGUAGAGAAAGGAUUAUUUGUCUUACACACAUACACCAUCACAGCCUUACAUCUAUAUGUUACCUUCAAAAAAUAAUCUGUGCAGAGAAAGAAUCUGGAUUAUGAAGUAAUCUGGCCAUUUACAAAACAUCCAACAUACCUCAGGAGUCUGGUAAGGAAAUUUUCACAAUGGGUUGUAUUUACAACCUUGAGUCUCUUUCUUAGCAUAUCCC